GCCAAGUCCAAAAAUAUAUAGUAGGCUACAUAUAAUAAAUUUAGUUCUUUAAGUGUGUGUGAAUGCUAAUAAUUUUUUUCUGCUCACAAGGAAACAAACGACCGUAUGACAGGGAGUUCUUCAGCUUUCUGCUGGAGAAGGUUUUGGCCAAAGACAAAGAAAAGGGAAAAUCUGUCAAAUUGGUGCUGAAUACACCCAAGAAACGCCAAAAAGCCAGAGGAAAGAAAGCUGCAAAGAGUAAAGAACAAUGCCUCACUGUUUUCAGUGAUGAUGAAGACUUUAACAUGGAGGAUGGAGACCAUAUGGAAGCAGAAAAGGAAAAUGAAGAUCUUCCUAAUGUGAAUGACGCUGAGGCGUCAGUCCCUGCCAAAAAGAAGCGCAAGCGUACAAGAACUGUUGGUGAGGGUACAGACAAGGAGGAUUGCUGUGAGGAUCAAGACAGCAAGAAAACAAAAAAGAGUAAACGAACCAAGAAGAGCAAAAAAGAAGUGCCCUCUCCUGAAGAUGAUUCUGAAGGUGUUCAUAUAGUCGACGACUCUGUUAGUGCUGAUAAAGAGAAUGAGCCUGACUUGAGUGCAUCUGCUCUUAAAAAGAAACGUAAACGCUCGAAGAAGACUGAAGAGGAGAAGCAGGAUGAAACACCAGUUGAAGGAAGCAAGAGCAAAAGAAGCAAAAAGUCCCUUAAAGUUAACGACAGCCUUGAAGAUACCACCAGUGCUAAUGCAGAAAGCAGCAUUGUGGAUGACGGUGACUCUGUGGCAAGAACAAAGAAGCGUAGACGCUCUCAGAAAGCUGACCUGAAAGAAGACACGCCUUCCACUGAGAAAAGCAGCAGAAAGAAGAAGUCGCAGAAAGGAACAGUCACAAAUGAGAGACCUGCAGAAGAUGGAGAAGCCAAAGUAGCUGCAGAAGAUGGAGAAGCCAAAGUAGCUGCAGAAGAUGGAGAAGCCAAAGUUGCUGCAGAAGAUGGAGAAGCCAAAGUUGCUGCAGAAGAUGGAGAAGCCAAAGUUGCUGCAGAAGAUGGAGAGGUUUCAGAAACGAAAAAAAUGGAUACCAUCAGUUCAGCUAAAGAGAAGGAUAAGGCUCCAAAAAGAUCUACCAAGCAACCUAAGAAACCAACACCUAAUUUAACUAAAAGGAGAGUUUUGAAGCCUUCUGAAUCAGAAACCACAGCCAAAACUGAUGAGAAGCUUCAAGAGAGUCAAAUUGAAGAGAACAGUGAAGCUGUUGUGGAGAGGGAGAGCAGGCCUUUAGAAUUCGAUAAACUUGAGAAACAGGCGGUGGUUCCAGUGGAAAAGACUCCUCCAAGGAUUGCAAACCUGUCUAGCCCUUCUAAAGUCAGACACAAAAGCAAUGAAGAAUCUGAGGAUCCUCCUGCUCCUCCAGCUGACGGUGAGAGUUCCUCUGGCCAGCAGUUACGGAGGCGAAGAGCAGAAAGAGUGAAGCGCAGUUUGACAACUGAGGAAAAGAAGAAGAAGAAGGGGAAAAGAAAAGCAGUGACGGAUCAGGAUGAGUCUGAGCAUGAUCUAGGAGCCUCAGCAGAGGAUAUGAGGAGUCCAACAGAUCUGCUGGAGGAAAUGGUUUCUCAAAGAUCUGAGGAGACAGAAGAUGGGAGCCUCUUGGACGAGAACCUGAUUGACUUCUCAUGUCUUCAUCAUUUAAACAGUCCAGUUUCCCAAAGAAAGCCAAUGGUGGUGUUAUCUCGUGAAGACGUGUCCAUGAUCCUUAAUGUUGAGAACCCAACAGAUGAAGAGGAUCCAUCUGUGAGUCCACUGGAUUUGUCACUGAACACAGAGCUGUCCUUUCCUCUCCAGUGCAGCAAUCUUCUCAUGGAGGAGAAUGCUGAAGCAGCUCAGGUUGAGCCUGGGGUUGAUGAACACGAGGAUGCUCCUCAGGAAACACCAUCAAGUAGUUUUGCCUUGGAGGAGAAGCAAUAUGAAGACUUGGGACUAACAGAGCUUUUAUCGGGCUGGCCUGCUAACUCAACUACAGGAAACCUUCCCUCUUUGGCAUCAGAUGAUGUUCCAACAUCAGCAAAGGAUCUUAAAGGCUAUCCACAUGCCGCAGAUCUUGAGACCAUGCCUUCUAAGUAUUCCGUCUACACCAAAUCUGAAGCACCUGAGCCUCUUGAAGUUGUGAAACAAGGUGCUUCAAUGCCAUACCAAGGAACAAUGGUGCAAUCAAAUACCUGUAUGAUGGAAACCUCAGAAAUUAAAGAGCGAUCUCAAGAAUCUGUUGUGGCAACCUCUAAAGUCAUGACAAGAUCUCAAGGCUCGGUGAAGAUAACACCAGAAAUCAAGGAAGUACCUCAAGAGUCUUUUGUGGAAACCUCUAAAAUCAUUAUGAGAUCUCGAAGCUCUAUAACUGUAACACCGGGAGCCUCUGAAGCCUUGAAGAGCUCCCAGGAUUAUAAUCUGGAAAUACCAGAAAUUAAACAGGGAUCCCAGGAAUCUGUUUUGGCAACUUCUGAAGCUUUGAAGAGCUCCCAGGAUUAUAAUCUGGAAAUGCCAGAAAUUAAACAGGGAUCCCAGGAAUCUGUUUUGGCAACUUCUGAGGCUUUGAAGAGCUCCCAGGAUUAUAAACUGGAAAUGCCAGAAAUUAAACAGGGAUCCCAAGAGUCUACUUUGGCAACCUCUGAGGCUUUGAAGAGCUCCCAGGAUUAUAAACUGGAAAUGCCAGAAAUUAAACAGGGAUCCCAAGAAUCUGCUUUGGCAUCCCCCCUCUUGACGAGGUCAAGGGGCUCUGUAAAGCUAACACCAGCAAUCAAGGAAGCAUCUCAAGAGUCUGUUUUCCAGGGUUCUACACUGGAAACACCAGAAAUUAAAGAGGGUUCCCAAGAGUGUGUUAAGAAAUCAAUGGACUUGCAAGCAUCUUCACUGGCAACGUCACGAGGGUCUGUUGUGGCAACCACUGCAGUAAAGACUAUAUCAGAACAGGCUUCAGUGGCUGCGUUUUUGGGAAAUGAAAGUUCUCAAGAAGAAAAGAAACAAGCCAACAUGCCAAGGUGUGUAUCUAAUCAUAAUACAUUCAUUGACAAAGAAAUAGUCCCACCCAGAAGAAUGUAAUGUUAUCGGAAAGGAACAUAAAGGUUGCCAGAAAAUGUAAACUGGUUUGGGCAUCUGUUGACAUAUUAUUGAGCAACACAUAAAGAAGUAGUGCAUUGAAUAACUCACGAAACAUAGCAUUCCAUCUCAGUAUGAAGAAGUAGAGGUUCCUAACGUUGUCCUACAGUAACUCCUCUCAUGCAGCUUGAAUAUUCUUACACAAUUCCUGCUAAUGUUGUGGCAAGUGGCAAGUCCAAUAGCGUUCAACACAUUUUUAAUCAGAAUAGGCCAGCCUGAUGAGGUGGCCAUGGCGUAGUAUCUGUGUCUUAAAUGCAGGCUCUUGAGAUGGCAGCAGUAUCUGAAUGAGCAUUGUCCUGUUGUUGGAAUAGUGCACCAUAAUGCGCGUUCAGAAAAUGUAGAUCCACUGGUUGCCUCAUUAAAGAGCCACUAAACCGUAAUCCAUAUUUUUCCCGUAGACACACCACAACAUGUAGAUCAGUCAAUCAAUAAUACCACCCCCUUUGCUGAUGUCCAACUAUCUGCAUCUCACUGCUAGAAGAGGCCGAUCAGCUCUCCCUCUUCCCUAAACUCAUACAUCACCCAGUGCCCCUCCCAAACGACCCCUCCUAUUUUUUUUUUUUUGCGUUUUUUUUUUUUAUUUGAGCUGAGUGUGGAGUCAGCUAAAAUCAGGGGGUUUAGUGCCCCUUUAAGAACCUCAUAACAUUACAUUACAUAAAAUAACAUUGGUCUAUAUUACACAU
rnacentral:lncRNA from 1 species